rnacentral:rRNA from 1 species
UACAGAGGUCUCAAGCGUUGUUCGGAUUCAUUGGGCGUAAAGGGUGCGUAGGCGGUUUGUUGCGUCUAUCGUGAAAACCUGCAGCUUAACUGUGGGCUUGCGGUGGAUACGGGCAGACUUGAGUUCGGUAGGGGAGACUGGAAUUCCUGGUGUAGCGGUGAAAUGCGCAGAUAUCAGGAGGAACACCGGUGGCGAAGGCGGCCCCCUGGUUGGAUACUGACGCUGAGACGCGAAAGCGUGGGGAGCAAACAGG